GCUGGCGGUAUGCCUAACACAUGCAAGUCGUACGAGUAGUUUUUAACUCUAGUGGCGGACGGGUGAGCUAACACGUGAGAAUUUGCCUUUAGGAGGGGGAUAACAAUUGGAAACGAAUGCUAAUACCCCAUAUGCUUUCGAGUGAAAUGGAUUUAUAUUUAUCCGCCUAGAGAGAAGCUCGCGGCUGAUUAGCUUGUUGGUAAGGUAAGAGCUUACCAAGGCGACGAUCAGUAUCUGGUUUGAGAGGACGAUCAGACACACUGGAACUGAGACACGGUCCAGACUCCUACGGGAGGCAGCAGUGGGGAAUUUUCCGCAAUGGGCGAAAGCCUGACGGAGCAAUACCGCGUGAGGGAAGACUGCCUAUGGGUUGUAAACCUCUUUUUUCAGGGAGGAAUCAAUGACGUGUACCUGAAGAAUAAGCAUCGGCUAACUCCGUGCCAGCAGCCGCGGUAAGACGGAGGAUGCAAGUGUUAUCCGGAAUCACUGGGCGUAAAGCGUCUGUAGGUGGUUUAAUAAGUCAACUGUUAAAUCUUGAGGCUCAACUUCAAAAUCGCAGUCGAAACUAUUA
rnacentral:rRNA from 1 species